GUCGCAUGUCGUGCAGCAUCAUCAAAUUAAAUAGUACCACAACACACGCACACACACACACACACACACACACGCACACACACACACACACACACACACACACACACACACACACACACACACACACACACACACACACACACACACACGUGGGAACCAUAAAUAUCCCCCCCUCCCAGCAGGGGGCGGGGCUGCGCUCUGAAACCUGAACCUUCUCCUGAGGAAAGCUGGAGAUCUAAACUGGACCCAGAUGGUGUAUGUGGUGCUCCACCUCCUCAGCUCAGCGUCAACAGCUAAAGUUCACUCAACUUUAGACUUUAGAGCAGGCCUCUGGUUCUCCUUCUUUGUUCUUCAACUUCCUCUGAAGUGACACUCCUGGUCUCACGCGCUGUGGGUUCGGGCCGGGCUUUGAUAGCGGACACUGGUCCCGGUGCGGGUCCAGAAGCUUCCAGAGGAUGAAGGUGAGGAAGAGGAGCGGACGGUGAUGAUGCGGAGCCGCCGUGUCUGCUCCGCUCUGCUGCUGCUGGGGGUCCUGGUCCUCUUCUACCACACCAGAACCCUGGUACAGAACCACUACCAGGUCCAACAGGAGGCCCAGAGGACGGAGAGCCUGGUCCAGGACUCCUCUACUCAUCUCCGGGCCGUGAUUCUGACAGGGCGUUUGUCUACAUCUGACACCGAAGUCCAGCUUUACAUGAGGGUUUUACAUCAGAUGGGCUACAAGGUCCAGCUGAGAGGACAGACAGGUGUGAGUGGUUGGAGUCUACUGCUGUGUGUUAGCAGUGCUGAGUUCAACUGCCGAAGAAGGAUACCUUUAACUCACCUGAAACGUCAUCAGAUGGUGAGACUUGAAUAAUUUUACUUCCUGUGUGAGAAGCCCCAAGCACUCCCCUCAAAAAGGGGAGCGCUAUAUAUUACUUACUGUAUAUUAAAGAUGUUCAAUAAUAUAGUUUUCCCAAUAUGCCAAUAUUUUUCAAUAGAUUUCCGAUAUUCACCAAUAUACAAAAUCACAUAGACCUGCUUCCUCUUAAACCUCCCUCUCACAUUAAAUAUACAGUAACUCCAUGGAAAUAACAGGUUAAGUAUACUUUUAAUGUGAUGCCGCUCUGGAUAUGUGUCACAAAUAAACAUCAUCAAUGCAAAGAAUUCUAUUCA
rnacentral:lncRNA from 1 species